UGGAUUUCUGCAAAUUUUUAUAUGUUUUUGAAGUUUUUAUUUUUCUAAUUGAAUUGAGAUCGGCCAGUUAGAAAAUCAUUAAAAAAAACUUUUCCAAUGGUGUUCAAAUAACUAAAAUAUGUAAUAAAACUUUUCUAAAGUUUUUGAAAA
ensembl:ncRNA F15A8.16 ncRNA